rnacentral:rRNA from 1 species
UACGAAGGGGGCUAGCGUUGCUCGGAAUCACUGGGCGUAAAGCGCACGUAGGCGGCUUUUUAAGUCAGGGGUGAAAUCCUGGAGCUCAACUCCAGAACUGCCUUGAUACUGGAGCGUGAGUCCGGGAGAGGUGAGUGGAACUCCGAGUGUAGAGGUGAAAUUCGUAGAUAUUCGGAAGAACACCAGUGCGAAGGCGGCUCACUGGCCCGGUACUGACGCUGAUGUG